rnacentral:rRNA from 1 species
UACGUAGGGCGCAAGCGUUGUCCGGAAUUAUUGGGCGUAAAGAGCUCGUAGGCGGCUUGUCACGUCGGGUGUGAAAGCCCGGGGCUUAACCCCGGGUCUGCAUUCGAUACGGGGCUGGCUAGAGUGUGGUAGGGGGAGAUGAAUUCCUGGUGUAGCGGUGAAAAUGCGCAGAUAUCAGGAGGAACACCGGUGGCGAAGGCGGAUCUCUGGGCCAUUACUGACGUGAGGGAAGCGAAAAGCGUGGGGG